UCCGCCAGCAGGCCCAGCGCCGCCCACUUCCUGCGACCAAAUAAGGCCGAGGAAGGCGUCUUUAAACCUCCGGCGGCUGCCCGGGCUGGGGAUUUCCAGCAGACCUCACCUCCACUCCGGAGUCGGUCGCCACCCUCCCCCAUCUCAGGCCGGCGCCCCCGAUGGCUUAGCUGGAACUAACAGGCCACGCGGCUCGUUCCUUGCACACCAAGGUCAGGAAGAGACGGUGACGAAAUGUUUGGAAACCCAUCAAGCCUGCCAGGAAACUGUGUGUGAUGUUGGGGAGGGCACAAGUCGCUUUCUUCCACAAAAGAAAACUCUGGCUUUGGAUACGGUAAAUGGUGCACAGUCCUCUCCAAGACACUUCAUUAACAGCCUCCCUGAGUGUCACUUUCUGGCCCACCGGCAUCCACCAGCCUCCCAAUGGUAUCAGGGUUAUGGAGAAAUAGGCCCCACGAAGGACCCACAAGGCCAUUACUUAGGUGAUGAAAAGCUCCUGGGUUGAAUUCUAGGCCAGGUUGGGAAACUUUUCUCUCCAGGCGCACAUUUCUCCCUGCCUUCUCUAAAUAUCCCCCUGAUAAAAUUUUCUGGUCCAAGUCCUGUUGCUUGUUUGCCUGACUGGAGGGAAGAUGGGAAACAACUGCAACCGAGCAGGAGGUCUUGCAGGGCCAGAGGAAACUCAGGGGAAAGUGCUCUGUUUUUCCUUCCAUGAUUUUGGUGUUUUGUUAUUCUUUUAAGGAGAUGAGUCAAAAAGAGAAUUUCCUUUGAAGGAAAAACCAUCGAAGAAUGAAUAUACUGUUUUGGUAGUUACUUUUCCCUGUGGCCCAUCCUAAGAGUCUGAUGCAUCCCUUGUCUUCUUAGAAGAGCAGAAUAUGAUUCUCUCAUACGCCCUGAGCCUACAGGACUUUCACACUCCCCAUCCCCCACACUCCCAUACCUCCCACCCCUCCUAAGGAGUGGAUGCCAACAUGAGGACCUUCUACUUAGAAACCCUGCAAAACUACACUUAGCUCCUAAGUCUCCUAGGUCUCUCCCUCCUCUUCUACAGCUUUGCUGGCUGGCUUACCUGUUAUGCACCAGGAAGUCACACCUCACUCAGAGGAAAAGGGCUUAUUUGUCCCAUAUUAUGACAGAUAUGUCAAAGUAAUGACCACUUAAAAUAAUCUUAUCUACAAAAUACCAGUAAUUAUGCCAAGGGACUAGAUCCGAUGACCUCUUAAAAUGCCAUCAAAUUUAAGAUCCAUCUUUCUACAUUUGUAAAAAGUGAAUGGAGGAGCCAGGGAAACCACCUUCUACAGAAAAAAGCCCAAGCUCCCAGAUUUAGCAUCCAAGAUGACUGUAUUGCUCCUGACAAGUCUCACAGCAUUUCCCAUACAGCCUACUGAACAAGGCUGUGUGUGAGAGAGCUGUAUCCCUCUUAUUCUGUGCAUGAGGACUCAGGUUCAGAAAGGUUAUGUGCAUUGCACGAGGUCACAAGGCAAGCCAGUUAUCUGUCACUUCUCUGCUCUUCUUCCAAUCUCCCACAGAGUAAGAUAGCAAACAAUCAAGGGACUAAGGUGCUCAGGCAUGUAGCCUGGCCUUACCCCUAGUAGAGGAUAGACUCUCAGAAACUCAGUGUAAAAAGCCUUUUUGCUCUUUCUAUUUGCCAGUUUCUUCCCUCCCACUGGCAACUCAUCCAAGUGAAGGAAACAAAAGCCAAACCUCUUGGCCUCCAAUGCCCGCUGCUGCCAGGUUCUUCUGCAGAACUGCAGCCAUCCUGACCUCCCCUGAGGGCCCACCCCUGCAACUGGCUUGGGGCCAGCCCAGAGGAAGCCCCAGAGCGCAAGCGUAGACCAGCCCAGGGACAUUCCCAACUAACAAGAAAACCCAGCUGGGAGCACAUUCUUAGAAGAGCCUCCAUGAUGCGCCAGGGCCCAGCCUCCAGGAAAGAAGUGGGAGCCACUCCAAAGGACACUCCCCAGCUCUGUCCUGCAAGGACUUCCUCCCUGUCCCACACUGGGCUGCCUGAUCCAGGAACAGCAUGGGGAGUGGACGCAAGAGAUACUGAAAAGUCAGUUACCCUGAAGGAACCCUGCUCAUCUUGGCGCAGCACAACCUUUCGUUCAGACUAAACUUCCAAAUUUGGGCCAUCUCAGAGAGAGGAAAGGGGGCACAUGGAUGCUCAGGAAAGGAGGACUCAGAGACUAUUCCCUGCUUGGCAGGAGGAGAAGUCUAUAGCCACAGAAGGCAGAAGAGGGUGUGCAAAGAAAGCUGCGGCCUUUCCGGGAAAGACCUGCAGCACCCCUUCUUCACACAGCACGGGAAAGAGAGGAGUACUGAGCUCCAGUUCCUGGGAGGUAAUUGUUGAGAAAGAAACACUCCAGGAAGCAAAGGACCUUGGACAAGUUUUCAAACUCCAGGUUCCAGUGAGGGUAGAGUUUUAUUUCAGAGGCUUCCUAGCAUCGCAUUGGCUCUCUGCUCUGGAUUCUGUUUGGAGUGGCCCAGCACUGCGCUGCAUAGUCCUCCCCUAUGUCCAGACCAUUAAAAUCUUCCAAAGGUAAAUUUUAUGGUAUAUCAAUUAUAUCUCAAUAAAGCUGUUGAAAAAUAAAAGCUUCCAAGGAAGCCAGGAUCUCAACACCACCCUGACCUGCCCCAGGCCUGCAUGCCUUUUUCCACUGUCCCUUCUCUGCUAGGAUCUUUCCAUCUAGGCCACCACAUGUAGUGUGGUAAGUGCUUAAACUUUAGAGUGUGAGGAAUCAGGGGAACAAAUACUGUUGAGGGCAUCACAAAAUGCCAGGUUUCAUAUUGUGUUCCUACUGUCAAUUCCCUUUGCAGAAUAAAGGUCCUACCUCCAGGACGUCAUUGCCUACGGUUAUAACCGAAGAAAGAGAAAGUUGUAAAAAUAAUAAGGAACCAGGACUGAGAUGUGCCAUGUUGGUUGCAUGAACAAGGAAAGAGUGCCCAAGUUCAAGGGGCCUGAAAGGAUCAACUGGACAAAAGAGUGUUUUACAACUGCAGCAUGCUAUUUAAACCCACACCCAGGUCUCGGAGCAGACUGGCGCGUCACAGCAGUUCUUCCAGGAAUCCUUCCUUGACUCCAAGCGGAGGAAGACUGCUGGAGUAUAUCCUGUUGGAGCUCUCCCGGAUCCCCUUUAUCAGGCUGAUGUCUCAUCCCCCAGCAACUGUGAGCACACAGUUGUCCUCCAAAGAAGCCUCUGGUGGGACCAAUUCUGUGCUGGGUAGUUCCUGCUGUGGGACUCCCUGUGAGCUCCAGCAACACAUCCUUCCUUGCUUAACUGCUCUUCCUGUCUACACUGCCUUCUUCCUACUGAGGGCUCUUCCUAAAUAAACCCUGGAAUCCAAACACCUUCUUGGCCUCUGCUCCUAAGGAUCAGAAGAGUCACUCUCUCCCCUAAACUCCCAUGGCAUCCUGGUUAUCUUUACUCCAUUGCCUACAUAUUAUUCUGCUCUGCUUCCUGUACCAUCUUGGGGGUGAGCGCCCUAUGGUCCAGGAUCAGAGGUCCUCAAGGGCACAGCCUAGAUCUUCCUCCCCUUGCUAUCUGUGGUGAUGCUUGUGAUAAAUGCAUGAAUG